rnacentral:rRNA from 1 species
GAUGAACGCUGGCGGCGUGCCUAAUACAUGCAAGUAGAACGCAGUUGCGAACGGGUGAGUAACGCGUAGGUAAUUGCCUCAUAGCGGGGGAUAAUUAUUGGAAAAGAUAGCUAAUCCCGCAUAUUGUGAGAUGGACCUGCGUUGUAUUAGCGAGUUGGGGAGGUAAAGGCUCACCAAGUCGAAGAUACAGAGACUACCUGAGAGGGAGAUCGGGCACACUGGGACUGAGACACGGCCCAGGAUCCUUCGGGAGGCAGCAGGUGGGAAAUUUCGGCAAUGGACGGAAGGCUGACCGAGCAACGCAGCGUUGGUUAAGAAAGUUUUCGGGUCGUAAAGCUCUGUUGAUAGGGAAGCGGUAACUAACCAGAAAGGGACGGCUAACUACGUGCCAGCAGCCGCGGUAAUUC